rnacentral:rRNA from 1 species
UACAGAGGGGGCAAGCGUUGUUCGGAAUUACUGGGCGUAAAGCGCACGUAGGCGGCUUUUUAAGUCAGGGGUGAAAUCCUGGAGCUCAACUCCAGAACUGCCUUUGAUACUGAGAAGCUUGAGUCCGGGAGAGGUGAGUGGAACUGCGAGUGUAGAGGUGAAAUUCGUAGAUAUUCGGAGGAACACCAGUGGCGAAGGCGGCUCACUGGUCCAUUACUGACGCUGAGGUGCGAAAGCGUGGGGAGCAAACAGG